CGGGCUGUGGCGCAGUUUGGUAGCGCACCUGCUUUGGGAGCAGGGGGCCGCGGGUUCAAAUCCCGCCAGCCCGACC
rnacentral:tRNA from 2 species